UUCUAGUCUGUUUACGAUGCUACCGAUUCCUGUUUAUUUGUUUUCGAUGUCCGUCUCCCCGCUUCCGUCAAAACAGACAAACAGGAAUCGGUAGCAUCGUAAUUAAAUAGAA